GAAGCUGGAACUUUCAGCUCCACCCCGCUGACCUCUGGGCAGGGGAGAAGGCGGAGGUUAAAUCAAGGCGGCGUGUGGCCAAAUGAUUUAAUCAACUGCGUCGUCGUUGUAAUGACGCCUCCAUAGGAACCCGAAGGACAGGUUCCGAGAGCUUCUGGGUGAGCGAGCACCCGGGGCCGGUGUGAGUGCUGCAGGAGGGAGGGCAUGGAGCUCCUCGGCCCCUCCCGGACCUUGCACUACGCCUCUCCUACACCUGGCUGGUCCCCGACUUACAUGCUCUUAUAAACCAGCCACGUAGCGGAUAAGAUGUUCCUCCGAGUUCUACGCCAAGCGAUGACUUACACAGAGAACGUGUCUGCAGAAAGCCAGGCCACCGCUCUGCCGAGAAAGCAAGACAGGUCACCAGCAGCUCUAUGGGAGCUAAGAGAACUCAGCCAGGGAGUCCCAUUCUUGCCACACCUGCUCAAACAGGGAUGGCCUGAUCCAGAAACGCGGCCUCAGUGUGUGCCACCAGGAUCUCCAUCAGUAAAAGGAUGCAGGCUUCAGUAUGGAGUAUAAAGAGUGACAACAAAUGAACAUCUUUGUUUACACAUUGUGAUGCAUCCUGGAGAGACACACCUGAAGUGAGAAUACCAAUCAAAGGACAUGAAAAAUUCAAAGACUUGGCGUUCUGUCAAAAUUACUGACAUAAAUACUGUACCACUCUUCUACUAGGAGUAUAUGAACUGCUGAUAAAGGAUGGUUUAAGACUUACAAAGCUGGUAAGCAAAAGAGGAACUCAUCAUUUUGUUUUGCAUUUCAAUUAAAACUAAGGUUUAAACUUUU